CCAAUAGCGUAUAUUAAAGUUGUUGCAGUUAAAAAGCUCGUAGUUGAAUUUCGGGAUCAAUAUGUCGGUCGUGCCUUCGGUACGUACUGGUAUCAUUGGUCUCUCCUUUCUGACGAACCAUGAUGUCAUUAAUUUGGUGUUAUGGGGAGUUAGGACUGUUACUUUGGAAAAAAUUAGAGUGUUUAAAGCAGGCUUUAGCUUGAAUACAUUAGCAUGGAAUAAUGAAAUAGGACGUUCGAACCUAUUUUGUUGGUUUCUAGGAUCAACGUAAUGAUUAAUAGGGAUAGUUGGGGGCAUUAGUAUUCAAUUGUCAGAGGUGAAAUUCUUGGAUUUAUUGAAGACUAACUACUGCGAAAGCAUUUGCCAAGGUUGUUUUCAUUAAUCAAGAACGAAAGUUAGGGGAUCGAAGACGAUCAGAUACCGUCGUAGUCUUAAUCAUAAACUAUGCCGACUAGGGAUCGGAUGAUGUUAAUUUUUUAAUGACUCAUUCGGCGCCUUACG
rnacentral:rRNA from 1 species